GCGGCGGGGAGAGAAGCAGAUGCCCGCGCUAGCGCUGGACUUUGGGACUUGAACCGCGACACGAGUCAAAAGUCGGGCGGGCGACCCGUCCAGACCGGCUGACAAAGGACCGCCCGAUCGAUUCCUGUGAUCCUCGACAAGCCUUUGAAAACUCGGGCGAUGUAGAGAGUUCCCUUCAGAAUUAACUCACGAGAUUGAAGUCGUGUAAUAAUGAAAGGAUAAAUAUACUUCCCGCCUUCUGCAAGAUCAAGGAAGCCAGGCAGGCCAGGAGUAAUGCAAGAGCAUCAAGCUGGUUUCUCUCAGAGUGAACCAAUUAGCUGCUCCGUGUGCGGAUGUCACCACCUUGUGACCUUCGGCCUGGCCUGCUGGGUGGAGAAGGGGAUCCGGAUCACAGUUGCUGAACCCAAAAGGUCCUCAAGAACUGGCAACAUCCUUCUGCUCCAAAUUCCAGCAUCUGGAGUUCCUUGUGUAUCCAGCUUCAUUUUCAUCAUUAUCGGUGGAACCAUAGAACCAUAGAACAUUACAGCACAGAAACAGGCCUUUUGGCCCUUCUUGGCUGUGCUGAACCAUUUUUCUGCCUAGUCCCACUGACCUCCACCUGGACCAUAUCCUUCCAUACACCUCUCAUCCAUGUACCUGUCCAAGUUUUUCUUCAAUGUUAAAAGUGGGUGACCAGAUCUGCUCGCAAUACUCCAAAGCAGGCCUCACCAAUGUCUUAUACAACUACCUUCCUGAGACGGAGGAUACAAGAAGAAAAGUGAGAGACACGUGCAAAACUAGAAUCAUAAUAAGAAAAUCAAGAUGGAAGUGAAACCAAAAAAAAAAUAAUUAGUACUAAACUGCAGGAAAGAAAGCCCAGCAAAUGAAAUGAGAAUGAGGAAAUUUACAAAGCAGUGUGGUUUCUUCCUUUUGGAAUUGACAAGCACAGACAAGAAGUGACUAGAAUUCAAAAUGCCUACUUCAGAACCUCUUAAAAUUCAAGGUAUAAUUCAAAGUAACUUCAUUAUCAAACUACGUAUAUGCCACCAUAUAGUAGCUACAAAGUGUUGUGUAUUUAAUAUUUCAGUAAUAUUUGAGUAAUCUUAUAAAUAUAUUGUUUGAUUAAGCAUUCUUAUUUGUUUCAAUAAUUCAUUACGAGUAAUAUAUAUAAAUAAGUGUUCUCACACUACAGCAUGAUAUGUGCACGCCUCGCUUAAGGUAAACACAAAGUUAG